GAAAGGAGGAAGGGAAAGGAGGUAGGUGAGAGAGAAGGAACUCAUGUGGGGCAUCAGAGGAUGUCCUAGCUCAGGUUCUUGGUGAGGGCUGCCUCUGCCUUUCCUGGGAAGCCCACCCUGACUGCCCAAGCCCUUCCUAUCCUGGAGGUUCCAAUGCUUCCUCUCACCCAGCAUCUGUCCCAGCAAAUAAAUCUGGGCCACGUACUUCUGAAAAGUUUCAGGAGUCCAUGACCCGCUCCUAGCUCUGGUGUGUACAUUGCAGUCCCUGGUUUGGGGGCAGGGAAGAAGGCCCCAGCAGGGGACAGGGACUAGGAGCUUCCCUGGGCCCUACGUGGUAUCUCUAGGGGUGGGGAGGACUGGAGAACCCAGUGUCCUUGAAAGCCUGAGGUUUCUGUACGUUCAUUUCUGGGAACCUGAUAUGCUUCAGAAAGAGAGAAAUGAGAAGCAAAACCCUAAGGCCCCAGCACCCCCUACCCCCCCGCCCGCCCCGCUUCCUGUCUUCCUUCCGCUGAGUCAUAGCCAAGAGCCCAGCACCUCAGCCUCCUCUGGGGCCAUCUGGGCGGGGUGGAAUUUAGAGUCAUGUGAGGACAUGGCAUCUGGGACAAGUCCUCUUUUCCUGCCAGUAUCUGUGAGGGGCCCUGAGUUGCUGAGGGCUGAAGUUACCUCCCAAGCUUGAAGAAGGGGUGACCAAUGUCCUUAGUGUCCUGUCUCUCUGUCAAUCCCCAGGCCCAUUGUUCACCUCCAAGUACUGAGCACCAACUGUAAGCUAGGCAAGGUGGUUCAUAUGGGGCCCUGUCCUUGAGGAACUCAUGGAUUUGGACAUGGACUCCUCCCGACAGGCUCUUAAUGAGUGGCUGGGUCCUUAAGGCUUGCUCUGGUCAGCAGUGGGGAGCCAAGUGAUCCAGGCCACAUCCCAGUGCACAUCAUAGAGACAUGCAUACCCUGACAGAGGCCUUUAGGUACGUGCGUAUGCACAAGUGUAGCACUUGAGCACGUGGGUCCAUGUCCAUGGUCCUAGGUGUCCACACAGGGCCUCCCUUGGAUGGUGGAGUUCCAGCCUCUGGGAACCAGGUCAGGACCUCAUGUGCAUGGCCUCUGUGAGGUUGCUGAGGGCCAAGGUUACUUUCCAAACUUGGAGAAGGGUGACUGAAGUUCUUAUGAGGUGUCACCCUGUCCUGGGGGCCCAACCACUGUCUCUGAGUCAUGGGAACUCAUGGGAGCUUGAGUAGUGUGCCCUCAUUUCAUGGAAAAGAACACUGAAGCCCAGAGAGGGCCUGAGACUUGCCCAGGGUCACACAGCAAGUUGGGGGAGAUCUAGAAGGAGAAUAAGUCAGACUUGGGCACCUGUCCACAUCCCUGACCUUUUUUGCCCCCCACCCUCCCAAUGACCGGGCUGCAUGAAACUCUGGGUUGAUUCUCCCAGCAAACCCACCUGGGGACCAACCACAGGGUCCUCCCAAGCCCUACUAACCAUUCUCAGGGAUUUCCUACCUAUUACAUCUUUGCUUGGGCUAUCCUAGCUGCCUGCAUUGCCCUCUCUCAAUCAGUCUCAGACCUUCUCUCUGAUUCCUCAAAUAAAAUCCAGACUCCCAAAUUCUACCUAAACACUUCCUCUGCCGUUUCUGACCUCCUGGAACUUUCCCCUGCCUCCAGCCUCUCAGCGCCGUCCCCUCACUCCUACCCACUGUGCACCCACCUACUAAACAUAAAAUUGACUCCUAGAAUCCUAGACUGGGGGUGAAAGGUCCUUUAAGGCUGAGAUGGUGGGAACCACACCCGGGCCAGCCCAGCCCUCCAGACUGUCAGUAACUGUGCUGGGCCCUAGAAUUAGGAAAGGAAACAAGGCUUCUGCCAGGUUUCACCGCCUGCCUGCAACUCUGCUCCUCCCUGAAGGCCCAGAGACCUGGAGCACUAUACUCUAGGCAAGAUUGGUCCCUUGGAGUUUACCAUUCCAGAUUUUGUUUAUUCCCCUACACCCUGAGUACCCUUCAACUGGAGGCUAGGCCUGUGUUUGGUGGGAUGGAGAGUGGAGGUCAAACAAAGAGUAGAGAACUCUCAGAUUUUGAGAGUGCUGCUCUUUCAUUAAAUGGCCCCAGACAGAGCUGUGUGCUCCUUUUCAAAGCUCUUCCCUUCCACUUGGUCUGAGGAAGGAGGCAGAGAGGCUGCCUUUGCCUCAUGAGGCUCUGAGUCCCAUCCUUGCCUGGUCAUCCCCUCAAGGGCUCCCCUCCAUGCUGGACUGGGAGCCUAAGAUGAAUUGUUAGACCUACCCUAGGUGCUAGAGUGUGAAAGAAAAAUCAACACAGACACUGCCCAUAUGGAACUCAUGGCCAAGUGGAGGACAGAGGCAGGGUCCUUAUCCUUGGGCCACGUGGUAUGUGUUUGAUCACUGCCUGUUCGGCACUGUGCCAGGCGCUGGGCAUGAGCAGUAUUCAGAUAAGGCCCUGCUCACAUGGAACAUAUCCCUCCACACUCAAGUUCCCAUAGAGAGGUUGCUGUGCUCAGCUUGAGGCUUUCUCUGUACCAAAGGUGAGCUUGGUAGGUGACCAGGGAGCUCACCCACUGGAGCCACUGAAGGGUGGGAUUUUGUGUACACACCCCAGCUUCCUUUACCUUCGGGUAGAACAACCCUGAGGUGUGUUGUACAUCAUCUCAACCAAGGACUGAGCUCACAUGCCCACAGAGGGUACUCACUAAUUAACACACUUGCUUUGGCUUCCUUUCCUUCCCUCUCCUCUGUAUCAAGAACCAGGAAGGCUCUGAGAUUUCAUCCAACUUGCAAGCUAACAAGUUACCAUAUUCCUGAGGAUGCUGGCAGAAGAUACAAGACUCCUGCUUGAGAAACAAAGGCUGGAGAGACCUGGGAAAACUCAAGCUCCAGGGAGAUUCCCAAGGGUGCAGUGGGUGCCCAACAGAGGCAUGAAUAAAUGGUGGAAAAGUUAAGGAAGACUUCUCAGAAAAGAAGCAUAUGAUUUGGACUUUGAAGGCCCAUGAGCCCCACAAGGAUGAGGAAUGUGUCCACUGUUCCCUGCUGUGUCUCCAGAGCCUCGAUGGAGUUGGUGCCCAAAGAGCAGGUAAAGGACUUAAUCGGUAAAGAGUUACCAUCAGCUAUUGUAUGUAUGUUGUUCAGGGUCCUGUGAGCCCACCAGUGCCGGUAGGUGUGCUCCUUUCACCAACCCAGAACCACCUAGGGGUAACUGCAGUGACUAGAGGAUUUUUGGCAUCUGUUAGACUGGGUCUCUGACUUGGGUCUGGGGCCCAGUGACAUGCUCUCCACUGAUUCUGUUCUAAGGAGGUAUCACUUACUGCCUUGAUAUGGAAACAGGAAAAAAACAUUGAAGCAGAAGAAGAGCAGGGGUCAGAAGUAGCAGGUAGCCCCUCCUCAAGCAAGAGCUGGACCUUGGCUUAGGCCGAGGGAGGGAGAAGGGGAUAGGACCCUGUUGGCCAGGCCAAUGGCUCUAGAGACCUUAGCAGGCAGGGACACAAGGGGAUAAAAACAGCAUCCAAGAACAACUCGCCUAAAACCUGCUCCCCCAUCCCCCACCCUGGCCCAUCUGCCAUCCUUGCCACCUCAUGUAGCAGUGCCAGGGCGCAUGAGUAGUUAGUACCCCAUGGGGUCAGCUCGGCUCUGUGCCUCACCUCCUCAGCUAGUCCCUCGCCUUCUCUGGGCCUCAGUUUCCUCAUCUGUGAAGUAUGGAUAAUAUUUAGAGUGUUGUGGUGAGUAUUACUUGAGGUGUAAAGCCCUUGUCUAUUGACAGUACCUGACGGACACCCCAAGACAUCUCCCCUCUGUAGACAAUGAAGGGCCUCCUCUUGUUUUCUGUCUGGGCCAUGCUACCAGGUGGGGAAUAGCCUGCCUUUGGCCCCUCUGUGUCUACUACCUGCACACUGGGUGACUCAGAUCUGGGGGUGGAACGGAUGGACUGGUCACCUCAAGCAUUCUCGGAGUUACAAAGGGGCUGAGAUCCAGGGUGAAGCAAUGAGGAACUGAAGACAUCCCUGGCAGGGCCAUGGUGACCUGGAGGAGGUGUGUUGUCGGGCCCUGGAGCCAGCAUUGGAGAGGGUGCCAGGCAGGACACAUGGGCCUGGGAACCACUCUAGUAAAGACAGUCCUCACCCUCCUCUUUCCCACACUCACCAAAAAUCAGCACCAUUCUUUGCCACAACUAUUUCCAUGCCCGCAAGUUUCUGUGCCUCCAGAGUUCUUGCUUUAUAUCCUUUCCUGCCUCCUUGUCAUCGACAUGUCACUCUUCACACCUUCCUGCCUUCAACUGCCAGCAUUUGCCUCUUCUAAUCUGCAACUUCUAAUUAUCUAAGGGCUAAGAAAAUAGGGUGACUUGAACUAUUUCUAAAGUAAAGGCUGGGAGUUCCCUGGUGGCUCAGUGGGU